UAUGUACUCCCUCCAUUCUGAAUUACUUGUCGCACGUAUGGAUGUAUCUAGAUGUAUUUUAAUUCUAGAUACAUCCAUUUCAGCGACGAGUAAUUUGAAACGGAGGAAGUACAAA
rnacentral:pre_miRNA from 1 species